AUGCCGCGGGCCCACCCCCGCCGCCGCCGCCUCCUCCCCGUCGCCGCGGCGGCGGCCGCCCUCGCGCUCCUCGCUCUGCUCGUCCUCCUGCCCACCGCGCCGCCGGGGGGACCCGCGGCCCCCGCCUCCCUCCUCCGCGCGGCCAUCGCCGCGCACCCGUCCCCCGCCUCCUACGCGCACCCGUGCGCCGACCACCUCUCCCUCUCGCUCCACCGCCUCCGCGCCGCGCUCCCCGCGCUCGAGUCCGGCGACCUGCCGGCCGCGCUCCACCUCGCCUCCGCCUCGCUCCAGUGCCAGUACGACUGCUCCCACCUCCUGUCCCUCCCCGCCUUCCCCUCCCACUCGCUCACCUCCCGCUUCCUCAACUCCCUCACCCCGCAGACGCUAACCGCAUACCCCAAACCCGCCUCCUUCUACUCCACGGUCGCAGCAUUUCCGGCGAGGGUCCGUCCGGCCGCCACCGUCUGCAAGUCCAAUCCGGCGUGCGACUUCUCCAACGUGCAAGACGCCGUCAAUGCCGCGCCGAAUUACACUGCCGGGCACUUCCUCAUCACCGUCUCUGCAGGUAUAUACAAGGAAAACGUCGUAGUUCCGUUCGAGAAGACCAACGUUUUGCUGGUGGGCGAGGGAAUGGGGGCUACCGUGAUCACUGCCUCACGGAGCGUGGGGAUCGAAGGGCUCGGCACUUAUGACACCACGACGGUGGCUGUCGUCGGCGAUGGCUUCCGGGCGAGGGAUAUCACAUUUGAGAACACUGCUGGGGCAGGAGCUCACCAGGCGGUUGCGUUCCGGUCAGACAGCGACCGGUCGGUGCUGGAGAAUGUGGAGUUCCGAGGGCAUCAGGACACCUUGUAUGCUCGCACAAUGCGGCAAUUGUAUCGCCGAUGCCAUAUUACUGGAACUGUGGAUUUUGUAUUUGGGAAUGCCGCAGCUAUGUUUGAGGAAUGCGUGAUUGAGACGGUGCCGCGGGCAGAGGGUUCCGGGAAGAGCGCACGCAAUGUGGUGGCAGCAAAUGGGAGGAUUGAUCCAGGGCAGACCACAGGGUUUGUGUUUCAAAAUUGCACAGUGGAUGGUAGCAAAGAUUUCGUUGUGUUGUUCCAGGCAAAGCCGCAAUCGUACCGGCUCUACUUGGGGCGUCCAUGGAAGGAGUAUGCAAGGACACUAUUUGUCAGCUGUUAUUUAGGCAAGGUUGUCAGGCCGGAGGGUUGGCUUGCUUGGCGAGGGGAUUUUGCACUCAAGACACUGUAUUAUGGGGAGUUUGAUAGUCGAGGCCCUGGUGCAAAUCAGACAUCAAGGGUCGGGUGGAGCAGUCGGACAUCAGAACAGCAUGUCACAUUCUACUCAGUAGAGAACUUUAUUCAAGGACAUGAAUGGAUUGCGUACUAA
rnacentral:rRNA from 1 species